GAAGAAGAUGUUUCUGAGGGGGAGAUUGAAUGAUAUGCGUGGAUGUACCCUUUUUCCUUAUCAUAGUUUUUAUCCCACAUGAUUUUUCUAUGACAAGGUUUUUAACGAGACAUUAAAGAACACGCAAAUAAUACACUUGAUGAAUAUUAGGAAAUUCUAUCAAUCAUCCAAAUGAAUAUUAUACACUAAUGAUAUUUAGAGAAAUAAAUUAGAUGGUCAAGAUGAAUAAUCUAAAAGAUUCAUGAGCAGCAGAAGAAUGGCGUUGUACUUUAUCCAGAAAUUUGUUCAAGAGAAGAUUUGGCAGACUUAUUCUCAAAUACUGUUUAUUCUCUGCCACAUCUUCUAAUCAUGCAGAGAUUUUAUCAAUUCAUGAAGCUAGCCGCGAAUGUGUAUAGCUAAGAUCCAUAGUUCACCAUAUACAAGAAGACUGUGGUAUGUAUGCAGGGAAAAAGACUCCAACAAUUAUGUACGAAGAUAAUGCAUCAUGCAUCGCACAACUCAAAGACGGAUACAUCAAAGGUGAUAGAACAAAGCACAUCCUACCAAAAUUCUUCUUCACACACGAUCUACAAAAGAGCGGCGAUGUACAAGUUCUACAGAUCCGUUCGAAUGAUAAUCUGGCUGACUUAUUCACCAAAGCGCUACCUACUGCUACUUAUUCAUCGUAUCGGAUUACGCCGUCUCAAAGAUCUCGAUGAAUAUACUCAUAAGGGGGAGUAAUUGUGUGUUGCACUCUUUUUCCCUUAACCAUAUGGUUUUUCCCAUUGGGUUUUCCUGUUAAGGUUUUUAAUGAGGCAACAUUUUAAAUACUUUACGAGUUAUGAUACUAUAAUGGUCAUCAAGGGGGAGUGUUAUGAAUAAUAGAUGGAUGCCCAUUAUAAGGCCAAUCAUCUAGAUGUCUCUAGGGUUUUACCCUUCUCUUGUACUCCUAUAUAAAUGAUGUUUUAUUCAAUGGAAUAACACACUCAUUUCUUCUAUCUCUUUCUCUUGUUAUAACAAAAAAAAAGUUAUCUAUAU
rnacentral:sRNA from 1 species